GCUCCCGUUGGCAGUGCGCGCACUAAAAUCAGACUGGAACAGAAAAGGUAAGCAGGGCCCCUGCGCAAGGAUGACACGUAAAUGUGUUAGGCAUUCUGUGUUUUC